UCCCACGUUCUCCUAAGCCCAUUUCCCAAACUUCCCACGUUCCAUCCUUUCUUCGAACUAAACCCCCCUUCCGCUCUCGUGAUCUCUCUCCCUCCCCACUUCCGCUCUCAACCGGCGGUGGCGACGACGACAAUGACGAGAUCUCUCUCCGCCGCCAUCUCCAACGGCGACGACCUCUUCCCCUUCAUCCACCGCUUCUUCGCCCAGUUCAAGCCCGAGGCCCUCCUCCACAACCUUCGCCUCUUCGCCUGAUCCAAGGAGUCCGAGAUCGAGUCCGUCUGCAAAGCUCACUACCAGGACUUCAUUCGCGCAUAAAUUAAAAGGGGAAGAAAAAGAAAGGAAAAGCCAACAACAUAGACUUCAACUCCAAGGCAGAAGAACGAAGACCUAGCAGCAGAGAAGAAAAAGAUUCGAUUCUUUUUCUUCUUUUCCAGUGCAAUUCUGGGGUUUAGGAUUUGUUCUCCUCUAUUCUUUGGCACAAGGUUUGAGGUUUAAAGAUGAGUGACAAUAUAAUGGAGAAAGUUAACGCCUUUGGUGAACGCCUGAAGAAUCAGAUUAGUAGUUCAGAAGUUGGGUGAAAGAUGACAGAAGGUAUGAGCUCCAUGAGUUUUAAGAUGAAAGAGUUUUUUCAAGGGAAAAUGAUGGCAAUAGCUGUGAAGCCUGCGAAGCAAGUGGAAGAUAAGAGAAGAACUAAUACGAAACAAAGAAGGGUUGUGAUGACAGGGAUGGGCGUCAUGACUCCAUUAGGCCACGAGCUUGAUGUUUUCUAUAAUAAUCUCCUCAACGGUAUAAGUGGAAUCAGUGAAAUAGAAAAUUUCGACUGUGUCGGCUAUCCAACGGUAUAUCCUCUUCUUUGCAUAAUUCAUGUUUAUAACCUCAUUUUAAAAUACUUUCUUUGUAGACAUUUCUUAUGUUUUACAUGAUCAAUUAGUUUCAAGUGAGAUUAAUUUAUAGAAACAUUUGACCAUGUCAACAGCAUCAUGUUAGACUCCAGGUAUUAGUACUUUAUAAUAGUCAUAUUGUUACUACUUAUUAAUAUGUUGUAAGCAAGCAUGGUAAAGAGUGAUACCCCUUUUUUGAUCCCUGAUAUUUGAACUUUUUGUCUAUAGAGAAUUGUAGGAAAGAUUAAAUCGUUUUCAACAGAUGGAUGGGUGGUACCAGAACUAUCUAAGAGGAUGGACAAAUUUAUGCUUUACAUGCUUACUGCUGGUAAAAAAGCUCUGGUGAAUGGUGGAAUUACUAAAGAAGUUUUGAAUGAGCUAGACAAGACGAAGUGUGGUGUUUUUAUCGGGUCUGCAAUGGGUGGCAUGAAGGUCUUCAAUGAUGCAAUCGAAUCUUUGAGGGUCUCAUACAAGAAGAUGAUCCCCUUUUGUGUUACCUUUGCAACUACAAAUAUGAGUUCGGCUAUGCUAGCAAUGGAUAUGGUGAGCCAAAGCAAAAUCUGA